rnacentral:rRNA from 1 species
AGCGAACGCUGGCGGCAGGCCUAACACAUGCAAGUCGAGCGCCGUAGCAAUACGGAGCGGCAGACGGGAGAGUAACACGUGGGAACGUACCAUUUGGUUCGGAACAACCCAGGGAAACUUGGGCUAAUACCGGAUAAGCCCUCACGGGGAAGGAUUUCUCGCCGAAGGAUCGGCCCGCGUUGGAUUAGCUAGUUGGUGGGGUAAUGGCCCACCAAGGCGACGACCAGUAGCUGGUCUGAGAGAGUGAGCAGCCUCACUGGGACUGAGACACGGCCCAGACUCCUACGGGAGGCAGCAGUGGGGAAUAUUGGACAAUGGGCGCAAGCCUGAUCCAGCCAUGCCGCGUGGGUGAUGAAGGCCCUAGGGUUGUAAAGCCCUUUCACCGGAGAAGAUAAUGACGGUAUCCGGAGAAGAAGCCCCGGCUAUCUUCGUGCCAGCAGCCGCCGUAACAC